rnacentral:snRNA from 1 species
GUGUUUGCUUCGGUAGCACGUAUAAAAUUCAAAUAAUACAGAGAAGAUUAGCAUGGCCUCUGCUUAAGAAUGAUAUGCAAAUUUGUAAAGUCUUCCAUAUUUAA